GACGAACGCUGGCGGCGUGCUUAACACAUGCAAGUCGAACGGUAAGGCCCUUCGGGGUACACGAGUGGCGAACGGGUGAGUAACACGUGGGUGACCUGCCCUGCACUUCGGGAUAAGCCUGGGAAACUGGGUCUAAUACCGGCUAGGACCACUGCCUACAUGGGUGGUGGUGGAAAGCUUUUUCGGUGGGGGAUGGGCCCGCGGCCUAUCAGCUUGUUGGUGGGGUGAUGGCCUACCAAGGCGACGACGGGUAGCCGGCCUGAGAGGGUGACCGGCCACACUGGGACUGAGAUACGGCCCAGACUCCUACGGGAGGCAGCAGUGGGGAAUAUUGCACAAUGGGCGCAAGCCUGAUGCAGCGACGCCGCGUGAGGGAUGACGGCCUUCGGGUUGUAAACCUCUUUCAGCACCGACGAAGCGCAAGUGACGGUAGGUGCAGAAGAAGGACCGGCCAACUACGUGCCAGCCGCCGCUGUAA
rnacentral:rRNA from 1 species